UACGUAGGUGGCAAGCGUUGUCCGGAUUUACUGGGCGUAAAGAGCGCGCAGGCGGUCGUUCAAGUCGCGUGUGAAAGCCCCCGGCUCAACUGGGGAGGGUCACGCGAUACUGAUCGACUCGAAGGCAGGAGAGGGAAGUGGAAUUCCCGGUGUAGUGGUGAAAUGCGUAGAUAUCGGGAGGAACACCAGUGGCGAAGGCGGCUCACUGGACUGGUAUUGACGCUGAGGUGCGAAAGCGUGGGGAGCAAACAGG
rnacentral:rRNA from 1 species